GGUGCGACUGGUGGCCAGAAUCAUCGCCAGACUGAGAGACCAGAAAGCGAGAAGCCAGUCAGAAAAACUGCUCUUACUGAAGGAUAUGGAAGCCCGUAAAUUACUUGAUUUGCAAAGAAACCAAUCAACCAAUCACGUGGCAGCAAGUCAUUUAGGCAUGUAGACAUGAUCAAGAGGAUCUGUUCAAAGGCAGCAUCAGAAUGGAGAUGAAGG